CGCGUAGGCGGGAAGGAAAGUCAGAUGUGAAAGCCCAGAGCUCAACUCUGGAAUUGCAUCCGAAACUUCCUUUCUUGAGGAUAGGCGGAGAAAGCGGAAUUCCACAUGUAGCGGUGAAAUGCGUAGAUAUGUGGAGGAACACCGGUGGCGAAGGCGGCUUUCUAGCUUACUCCUGACGCUAAGGCGCGAAAGCAAGGGGAGCGAACAGGAUUAGAUACCCUGGUAGUCC
rnacentral:rRNA from 1 species